GACGAACGCUGGCGGCGUGCUUAACACAUGCAAGUCGAACGGUGAAAGCGGAGCUUGCUCCGCUGGAUCAGUGGCGAACAGGUGAGUAACACGUGGGCAACCUGCCCCUCACUUCGGGAUAACUCCGGGAAACCGGGGCUAAUACCGGAUAUGACCUCCUUGGGCAUCCUUGGAGGUGGAAAGUUUUUCGGUGAGGGAUGGGCCCGCGGCCUAUCAGCUUGUUGGUGAGGUAGUGGCUCACCAAGGCGACGACGGGUAGCCGGCCCGAGAGGGCGACCGGCCACACUGGGACUGAGACACGGCCCAGACUCCUACGGGAGGCAGCAGUGGGGAAUAUUGCGCAAUGGGCGAAAGCCUGACGCAGCAACGCCGCGUGCGGGAUGACGGCCUUCGGGUUGUAAACCGCUUUCAGCAGGGAAGAAGCCGCAAGGUGACGGUACCUGCAGAAGAAGCACCGGCUAACUACGUGCCAGCCGCCGCCGUAAAAC
rnacentral:rRNA from 1 species